rnacentral:tRNA from 1 species
CAGGAUGCGCCUGGCGGUCAGGCAACGAACUUGGGGUUCGUCGGGUUUUCCCACAGUAGGUUCGACUCCUACAUCCCAACC